AUUGAACGCUGGCGGCAUGCCUUACACAUGCAAGUCGAACGGCAGCACGGGGGCAACCCUCGGUGGCGAGUGGCGAACGGGUGAGUAAUGCAUCGGAACGUGUCCUCUUGUGGGGGAUAACCAGUCGAAAGAUUGGCUAAUACCGCAUGAGAUCGAGAGAUGAAAGCGGGGGACCCGAGGGUAACUUCGGGCCUCGCGCGAGAGGAGCGGCCGAUGCCGGAUUAGCAGUUGGUGGGGUAAGAGCCUACCAAGGCGACGAUCCGUAGCUGGUCUGAGAGGACGACCAGCCACACUGGGACUGAGACACGGCCCAGACUCCUACGGGAGGCAGCAGUGGGGAAUUUUGGACAAUGGGCGCAAGCCUGAUCCAGCCAUGCCGCGUG
rnacentral:rRNA from 1 species